rnacentral:tRNA from 1 species
UCCGGCAUAGCUCAGUUGGUAGUAGCGCAUGACUGUUAAUCAUGAUGUCGUAGGUUCGAGUCCUACUGACGGAG